AGGAUAAACGCUGGCGGCGUGCAUUAGACAUGCAAGCCGAACGGACUUUUUCGGGCUUGCUCGAGAAGUUAGUGGCGGACGGCUGAGUAACGCGUAGGUGACCUACCCCGAAGUGGGAAUAACUGCCCGAAAGGGUGGCUAAUACCGCAUGUGAUCGUUCAUUCACUUGUGCGAUCAAAGCAGAAAUGCGCUUCGGAAGGGCCUGCGUCCGAUUAGCUCGUUGGUGGGUAAUGGCUCACCAAGGCGACGAUCGGUAGGUGGUCUGAGAGGACGAUCACCAGACUGGGACUGAGACACGGCCCAGACUCCGUACGGGAGCAGCAGUCGGGUAAUUUGCUCAAGUGGGCACGAAGCCUAGAAGCACGACGAACCGCCG
rnacentral:rRNA from 1 species